CCUACGGGCGGCUGCAGUGAGGAAUAUUGGGCAAUGCCCGCAAGGGUGACCCAGCAACGCCGCGUGGAGGAUGAAGGCCGUAAGGUUGUAAACUCCUGUUAGAGGAGAAGAAUAGUACCGAUUGGAUCGGUAUUUGACUGUACCCUCAGAGAAAGCCCCGGCUAACUACGUGCCAGCAGCCGCGGUAAUACGUAGGGGGCAAGGGUUGACCGGAUUUACUGGGUGUAAAGGGCGCGCGGGCGGAUAGCAAGAAAUCCUACAGCUUAACUGUAGAACUGCCUUUGAUACUGUUAUUCUUGAGUUCGGGAGAGAGAGACGGAAUUCCAGGUGUAGUGGUGAAAUACGUAGAUAUCUGGAAGAACACCAGUUGCGAAGGCGGUCUCUUGGUCCGAUACUGACGCUGAGGCGCGAAAGCGUGGGGAGCAAACAGGAUUAGAUACCCGUGUAGUC
rnacentral:rRNA from 1 species